rnacentral:rRNA from 1 species
AGUCGAGCGAACGGACGAGAAGCUUGCUUCUCUGAUGUUAGCGGCGGACGGGUGAGUAACACGUGGAUAACCUACCUAUAAGACUGGGAUAACUUCGGGAAACCGGAGCUAAUACCGGAUAAUAUUUUGAACCGCAUGGUUCAAAAGUAAAAGACGGUCUUGCUGUCACUUAUAGAUGGAUCCGCGCUGCAUUAGCUAGUUGGUAAGGUAACGGCUUACCAAGGCAACGAUGCAUAGCCGACCUGAGAGGGUGAUCGGCCACACUGGAACUGAGACACGGUCCAGACUCCUACGGGAGGCAGCAGUAGGGAAUCUUCCGCAAUGGGCGAAAGCCUGACGGAGCAACGCCGCGUGAGUGAUGAAGGUCUUCGGAUCGUAAAACUCUGUUAUUAGGGAAGAACAUAUGUGUAAGUAACUGUGCACAUCUUGACGGUACCUAAUCAGAAAGCCACGGCUAACUACGUGCCAGCAGCCGCGGUAAUACGUAGGUGGCAAGCGUUAUCCGGAAUUAUUGGGCGUAAAGCGCGCGUAGGCGGUUUUUUAAGUCUGAUGUGAAAGCCCACGGCUCAACCGUGGAGGGUCAUUGGAAACUGGAAAACUUGAGUGCGGAAGAGGAAAGUGGAAUUCCAUGUGUAGCGGUGAAAUGCGCAGAGAUAUGGAGGAACACCAGUGGCGAAGGCGACUUUCUGGUCUGUAACUGACGCUGAUGUGCGAAAGCGUGGGGAUCAAAC